AUGAACGCUGGCGGCGUGCCUAAUACAUGCAAGUAGAACGCUGAAGGAAGGAGCUUGCUCUUUCCGGAUGAGUUGCGAACGGGUGAGUAACGCGUAGGUAACCUGCCUGGUAGCGGGGGAUAACUAUUGGAAACGAUAGCUAAUACCGCAUAACAGUAGAUGUUGCAUGAUAUCUACUUAAAAGGUGCAAUUGCACCACUACCAGAUGGACCUGCGUUGUAUUAGCUAGUUGGUGAGGUAACGGCUCACCAAGGCGACGAUACAUAGCCGACCUGAGAGGGUGAUCGGCCACACUGGGACUGAGACACGGCCCAGACUCCUACGGGAGGCAGCAGUAGGGAAUCUUCGGCAAUGGACGGAAGUCUGACCGAGCAACGCCGCGUGAGUGAAGAAGGUUUUCGGAUCGUAAAGCUCUGUUGUAAGAGAAGAACGAGUGUGAGAGUGGAAAGUUCACACUGUGACGGUAUCUUACCAGGAAGGGACGGCUAACUACGUG
rnacentral:rRNA from 1 species